GAUGAAGAACGUAGCGAAAUGCGAUAAGUAAUGUGAAUUGCAGAAUUCAGUGAAUCAUCGAAUCUUUGAACGCACAUUGCGCCCCUUGGUAUUCCGAGGGGCAUGCCUGUUCGAGCGUCAUUAUAACCCCUCAAGCUCUGCUUGGUGUUGGGGCCUGCUGCACUGGCAGCCCUUAAAAUCAGUGGCGGCGCCAUCUGGCUCUAAGCGUAGUAAUUCUUCUCGCUAUGGAGUCCUGGUGGAUGCUUGCCAUCAACCCCCAAUUUUUCUAUGGUUGACCUCGGAUCAGGUAGGGAUACCCGCUGAACUUAAGCAUAUCAAUAAGCGGAGGA
rnacentral:misc_RNA from 1 species